GGUAAUGCUUAACAUUUCUUUUGUUUAGAGUAUGUCAUUUCUCCAUUUAUCAUGUAAAUAAACACAUAAUGAGAUGCAUGAAAAAGGUCAGGUAGGGAAAAAAUGAUAUUUCAUAUUCAUCUAUUUCAAAUGUGGCAAAUAAAGCAAGUUAAUCAAUGAGAGUAAAAAAUGUCAAAAAGAAAGAAAGGAUUGUAUUCAACUGAUAUAAAUACUUUAGAUAUUCGAC
rnacentral:lncRNA from 1 species